AGAGUUUGAUCCUGGCUCAGGAUGAACGCUGACAGAAUGCUUAACACAUGCAAAUCUAUGUAAAUUAUUUAUGCUUGCAUAAAUAAGGAGCAUGGUGGACUGGUGAGUAACGUGUAAAGAACUUGCCUCUUAGACUGGGAUAACAAGUGGAAACGCUUGAUAAUACUAGAUAUUAUGAUACUAAGGCAUCUUGGUAACAUGAAAGGAUAAGAUUGCUAAGAGAGAGCUUUGCAUCCUAUUAGCUAGUUGGUGGGGUAAAGGCCUACCAAGGCGAUGAUAGGUAGCCGGCCCGAGAGGGUGAACGGCCACAAGGGGACUGAGAUACGGCCCUUACUCCUACGGGAGGCAGCAGUGGGGAAUAUUGGACAAUGGAGGGAACUCUGAUCCAGCAAUUCUGUGUGCACGAAGAAGGUUUUCGGAUUGUAAAGUGCUUUCAGUAGGGAAGAAGAAAGUGACGGUACCUACAGAAGAAGCGACGGCUAAAUACGUGCCAGCAGCCGCGGUAAUACGUAUGUCGCAAGCGUUAUCCGGAAUUAUUGGGCUUAAAGGGCAUCUAGGCGGUUUUUCAAGUCAGGGGUGAAAACUUAUGGCUCAACUAUAAGCUUGCCUUUGAAACUGAAAGACUAGAGUACUGGAAAGGUGGGUGGAACUACACGAGUAGAGGUGAAAUUCGUAGAUAUGUGUAGGAAUGCCGAUGAUGAAGAUAACUCACUGGACAGAAACUGACGCUGAAGUGCGAAAGCUAGGGGAGCAAACAGGAUUAGAUACCCUGGUAGUCCUAGCUGUAAACGAUGAUCACUGGGUG
rnacentral:rRNA from 1 species